CCAAGGAGUCUAACAUGUGCGCGAGUCGGUGAGAUUUGUUUUGUACGUAAGAGACUCACAGGCGCAAUGAAAGUGAAGGCGUUGCCUUAGAUAACGCGAACCCUGUUUAUUUCUCUUUGGUUUCGGCUGGGGAGUUUAGAUAUUUUCGCGAAGGAAGAGAGUAGCGCUAAGGCAAGAUCUGUUAAACGAGGCCGUUAAAAAACCUCGAGGCAGCGCACUGCCAGCCCGUCGCAAUCGUUUAUCUAGUCCAAUGCGGCGGAGCAUGAGCAC
rnacentral:rRNA from 1 species